AGGGGCGUGGUGAGGAAGAUCCGACGUGGCCCCCCUUCGGAAUUCCAUUCAGCCAAACUCAACUCACGACCACCACGACCAUCAAAUCAGCCUCUAGUGGCUCAAACCAGCCCCACCUCCAUCCAUCCCAAAACCCUAAUUCCCUCAGUACUUGAAUAUUUUCACAGCUGAAUUUUUACCUGGAAUCCUUUUCAUUGUCCACUUCGUCCUUGAUUUUUUUUUUUUUUUUUUCGUGUUCUUUCUUUGUUUUAAUAUUCGAAAACUACCAUGGGGGGUGGUGGUGGAGUUGGGGGUGAUAUCUAUUGGGGAAGAAAGGAGGAAACUGAGUCUAGAGGAAUCACCGUGAUCUUCGCUUGGGCUUCGAUUCAAGAGCGGCACUUGAAGAGCUACAUCGAUUUGUACGCAUCCCUCGGAUGGAAUUGCCUCGUCUGUCAUGCCGAUUUUCUCAACGCAUUUUAUCCUGAGAAGGCCAUGUCUUUGGCAUUUCUUGUUAUCAAUGAGCUUGUUGAGGAGCUAAGGAUUAGGCCAUGUCCUAUAAUAUUUGUAGCGCUUUCUGGUAGUCCUAAAGCUUGCAUGUACAAGAUUUUUCAGGUUAUUGAUGGAACAUGUGGAGAGAGGUAUCCGGGAGAGUAUCAGUUGAUCAGAAAUUGCGUUUCUGGCCACAUCUAUGAUUCUAGUCCAGUAGAUCUUACAAGUGAUUUGGGUGCACGAUUCACACUACACCCCUCUCUUAGGAGAAUGCCUGGAUCAUCGAAAAUUUUUUCUUGGUUGGCGAAGGGCAUUACUUCUGGUUUGGAUGCAUUAUAUCUUACUAGAUUUGAAUCCCAAUGCGUUGAGUAUUGGCAGGCUUUGUACUCCUCUGUUAAUUUUAGCGCUCCUUUUCUCAUUAUUUGCUCAGAAAAGGAUGACCUUGCACCUUACCAAAUGAUCUGCAAUUUUGCUCAACAUUUACAAGAUCUUGGGGGUGAUGUUAAGCUUGUUAAAUUGAAUGGCUCCCCUCACAUGGGUCAUUACAAGCAUAAUCCAAUCCAGUAUAGGGCUGCUGUGUCCAGUAUGCUUGACCAGGCAGCUUUGGUUUAUUCCCAAAAGAUUCGACUACUGGGAGAAAGAACUAGCAUGGAAGGCAUGCAUGAUGAGAUAUCUGAGCUAAUCUGUGACCUCCAGAAUGCAGCUGUUACCUCAAACCAGAGCCUCACAAGAGUUGCACUAGGGCCAAGUGACCACUUCUUUUUGCCAAGUUCAGCAGAACAUCACUAUGGUAGAGAUUCUCCAUCUCUACAAGACGAACAAAAAGAAAGAUCAAUUUCUUUGCCUAACCCGUCAAGCAUCAAUGCACAUAGUGUGCUUGGCCAAAUCCUCUUUGAUGUUUGUGUUCCCAAGAACGUCGAAGGUUGGGAUAUAAAAUUUGGUGGCUCUCUGAACGGGCAGCCAUUUGCUUCUGUUUGUAGACCAUCCCCUUUCCAUGGAAUUAAAUGCAUUCGUCGGUCAAGACUUUAAUAUCUCCUACAUCAUGUGAAACUCUGGUAUAUGUUUGUAUGAAUUUGACACUUGUGAAUAGUAGUAGUGAAGUGGGGUUCCUUUGGACAUCUUGGGGAAAAACUGGAAUAGUUUCUGCACUUAGGCCAAUUCACAAAGUUCACGGCCAAAUGAGGAUAAGAACAUAUGUACAUCAUAGGUACAUGGAGAGUUGUAUGCUUGAAUAUGAUCUCCUGCCCACCUGUUCGAUAAGCUAUGCAAGUCUACAGAAAAAUGAGGAGAAGAUCCCAAGUACAGAGUUAGGUGUAUGCUUUGAUGACUCAGAGGUGAGGCUCCUUUGGUUACUGAGGGCUCCCAUGUUUGCAGAUUCAGAAGUGAGCCAGACUGUAUGUUAUUCUCUUCAAAUAUUCCGCUUGUCGUUCAAGCAUCAAUACUUGGUGCACGAGCUUCAAAUGAUCAAGCAUGAGGCUGGAGACCUGUACCAUGUAAAUAAGAGGAAAAUUUAGUGUUUGACAUGAGAAAGUCCGUCCAAGGUUGGAAUUUGUGAAGGUUGAAGAUGAAUUGUGCUGUAGGGAUGAUUGGAUGCGUCCAUGGGAAUUAGUGUUGAUUUACAUGAGCUCCGAGAUUUCCACGUCAAAAGACCUUCCAAUUCCCAGGGGAGCUGAAGCUUUGACCUUCAAAUUCCAAUCAGAGCUCAUUAAGCUGGUCAUGUGUAAAUCUAGAGAGUUGUUCAUUAUUUCAACAUACACGCACGAAAAUUGAGAAAUAUUUCUUCCACAAAAAGUUUAAUAAAACGAAUUACAUACAUACAUA